UACGGGGGGGCAAGCGUUGUUCGGAAUUACUGGGCGUAAAGGGCUCGUAGGCGGCCAACUAAGUCAGACGUGAAAUCCCUCGGCUUAACCGGGGAACUGCAUCUGAUACUGGAUGGCUUGAGUUCGGGAGAGGGAUGCGGAAUUCCAGGUGUAGCGGUGAAAUGCGUAGAUAUCAGGAGGAACACCGGUGGCGAAGGCGGGUCUCUGGGCCGAUACUGACGCUGAGGAGCGAAAGCAUGGGUAGCGAACAGG
rnacentral:rRNA from 1 species